AUUGAACGCUGGCGGCAUGCUUUACACAUGCAAGUCGAACGGUAGCAGCACUUCGGUGGCUGACGAGUGGCGAACGGGUGAGUAAUACAUCGGAACGUGCCUAGUAGUGGGGGAUAACUACUCGAAAGAGUAGCUAAUACCGCAUGAGAUCUAAGGAUGAAAGCAGGGGACCUUCGGGCCUUGCGCUACUAGAGCGGCUGAUGGCAGAUUAGGUAGUUGGUGGGAUAAAAGCUUACCAAGCCGACGAUCUGUAGCUGGUCUGAGAGGACGACCAGCCACACUGGGACUGAGACACGGCCCAGACUCCUACGGGAGGCAGCAGUGGGGAAUUUUGGACAAUGGGCGCAAGCCUGAUCCAGCAAUGCCGCGUGCAGGAUGAAGGCCUUCGGGUUGUAAACUGCUUUUGUACGGAACGAAAAGCCCUCUUCUAAUACAGGAGGGUCAUGACGGUACCGUAAGAAUAAGCACCGGCUAACUACGUG
rnacentral:rRNA from 1 species